UACGAAGGGGGCUAGCGUUGCUCGGAAUCACUGGGCGUAAAGCGCACGUAGGCCGAUUGUUAAGUCAGGGGUGAAAUCCUGGAGCUCAACUCCAGAACUGCCCUUGAUACUGACGGUCUCGAGUCCGGGAGAGGUGAGUGGAACUGCGAGUGUAGAGGUGAAAUUCGUAGAUAUUCGCAAGAACACCAGUGGCGAAGGCGGCUCACUGGCCCGGUACUGACGCUGAGGUGCGAAAGCGUGGGGAGCGAACAGG
rnacentral:rRNA from 1 species